rnacentral:lncRNA from 1 species
CCAACCCCUCCAUUGUCUUCUGAGACUAAGCUGCUUUCUAAGAAGGCCCUACGGGGACAAAGCCUAGUGGUACAUACAAUCCCAGAACUUUAGAGGCAGGGACAGGAGGAUCCCCAGUUGGAAGUUAGCCUGUACUACACAGAAAUGCUCCAUUUUAGUUGGCGACAAUGGAAACAAAGAGAAAGAAGAGGAGAAGGUGGAGGGGUAAUAGCUUAGUCAAUAACAGUCAGUUGAUAACCCUGUUGGGUUUAGAUGGCUAGUUUAUAGUGUGGACAGAGAGACUCCCAAUUCCCCUGCUUGUCAUCUGUCACAUAUUCACAUCCCGUGUGCUGACAUCAUCUUCCUUUGGUACUCAGGAAGCCUGAGCAGCUAGCAGCAGGGGGAAACACAGAGGAGGAAAUUGUGACCAUAAAAAGGUUGAACGGAGUGAACACAAGCCCCAAGGAGGAUUCGAGACUUGAUUCCUUUCAGAAUCAAUGACUGGCUGAGAAUUUCCUCAGAAACAGUUGUCAUCAUCGCUUUUUGUCAGAUUUAUUUAAGAAGCAAAGAUGACGAUGGUACACACACUGCCAGCAACAGUCAAACACAAGGAAUUCUGGGAAGCCAAGCUUCUGUUUGCCGUCUUCAGGGGUUCCAGACUAGAGAACUUCUAGGCUGGCCUUGAACUCAGCGAUUCCAGAUUCCUGGGAUAAAGGCAUCUUUGCCUGGACCUAAGCUUUUCAUGGCCACUAUGCCUCAAGAUCUCCAUGCCAAGAUCCAGGUCAUUUCUUUCACAGAGGAAGGAGAACUGUUGCAGGCGUGGGGGAAGCCUAAGCUCAGGAGGCUCAGGCUUAGCACUGGACGUUUUGGGCUAUGCAGCCCUGUGUGGUUUUGCCCAUGAAAAAUGUCAACACAUAUCGCCAAAUAUACCCCGAGGAACAAAAUUACUUCAACCUAACGUGGGACCGCACUGAGUUGUCUUGGGGCCAACAAAGAGUACUGUCUUUUGGUGAACAACAUCAACGUAUCAGCAAGCAGCUGCCUAUAGCGGCAGAAAAGAAGAUCUAUAGGAGGAUGCUGUCUAUCUAUUGGGAGUCAGAAGAAGCAGGGACCACCCACUGGCGGAACUGGCAAGGAACAUGGACCGGGUGAUUUGACGUCUGGAAAGAGGAGCUCAAACCAAGAAGAGGCUUUGCACACAGGUGGAAAGAUGUGUCCAAGCCUGUAUCAGCGAGCAUCUAGGGCGGUGCUGGAAUGCAAUGCUGGCUGAUCCUUCGAGCACAGAGUCAGAUAUAGCUGUUGUCCAUCUAAUGAGCUUUUCUGGGUCCAUAUGCGAGGAAGGGAUGAAACCUGGAGCUCUUACUCCAAGAAGGGUCUACCUCAGCAACCAGCAGCUUUCCAACAUGGGGGAGGACUUCUUUUGUCUUGAACUGAGAAUUGAACAGCCAUGAACAUCUUGGAAUUCCUAUCAAAUCCCACCUUCCAGGAUACAAAAGAUAACUUGCUUUCCACUGUGGCCCACCGCUAUCUUCACCUGAAAUGUCUUUCUCUCUCCUUACUUCCCCGUUUUCUGACAUCGCACCCUGCUCUCAGGCCCUGUUCUAUCAGCACGCAGUCCAGCUGAUCCUGUUUAGAAUUACCCUCCUCAGCUCAAGGAAUUUACCGGAAACAUAAUUCCAUCUAAAAGUUGGAAGUCCUGGAAGCAAUGGGGAGACUGCGGUCAGCGACACGGACCGUUUGAUAGAUGCUUAUACUGAUGCUGACCUGGAGGAACCCUUAGGGGUUUAGGAGCUGGCUACAGAUAGGUGGAAGAGACCAGGGGAAGAACCUGGGUUGGGACUGGCUGCUCAUCCAAGAAGUGCAGUUUGUGAGUUACUGAAGGUGGGCAAGACAUGUAUGGAGCCUUUAAGCCUGGUGGGUCCAUUGAGGGCACUGAGGGCAGGUAGCAGCUGAUCAUAGACCCAACAUUAUUCAUUGGUUGGCAGCACUGGUAUUUAAACCCAGAGCCCUCCAGUAUUCGUUUGACUCCCCUAGCAACCCUGUGGUCGUGUGGAGUAGCUCCUAACAGUCAAAGCUCCCAGAUGAGGAAAAUAACCAGUGUGAGAAUUUUCCAGUGGACCCACAGAGGAUGGGGCAGCUGCAGCCAGGUGGUGGAGAACGGAGCGGAGCGCAGGUUGCCUCGGGGAUGGGAAGGAUACAAAGAAAGCAAGGUAGAAAAGGACGUCAUAGAUGACACCCCGGGACCAAACGCUCCUCUGUCUUCCCUCCACAGUGGACAAGGCUGGGUGUGGCUCUCCCCACCAGCUCCUUCUGUCAGGGGUAAAACAGAAACCUAGCCAGAUUCACAAUUGCCUGAAGAGCUGUGAUCCAAGUUAAAUAUGAGUGUGAAGAUGACUGUAAUGAGCAGAGGAGAAAUGCUUUUUAGACAUGUAAAAGUAGCUUAGUUGGGAUCCCCACUAAAAAAGCUGCAUCUAAUAACCAGAUCCCAAUGACAUCACUCACUUCAGAUGACUGGACACAGUCCUAGAACCCCACGAUGCCCACUAGACAGUAUAUAAGCAGAGACCAUGAGCAAUGCUAUGCUCUUGGUCUUCUGGAUCGACAUCACCUUGAUCUGCCUUGUGACUGGGGAGUCUACCCCAGGAUGCUGACCCUUCAAUCAGAGAUUUGUGUUAGAGACUGGACCUGACCUUCAGCUAAGAUAUGGCACACAGAUGAGCAGCCUUGGAGAGACAGGGUUAGGAAUUUAAAGUGUGAACCUUGUGUGAUAACCCUCAGCAUAAUAAAAUAGAACUUGAUUGAGCUUUCAAAGCCCGGAGCAGCUGCUUAGCCAAGAAGUCAUUUAGAAAAUGGAAAUAAACCACCCAGUACCUCAAGAAAGCUCCUUCUCUGAAUCACAUCAAAAAAAAAAAAAAUGUCUUUACUCACAUCUUGUUCAUGAUGCCCAGGAGGCCAAGGAACCAUUCUACCCAAGGAGAGUCGGGAAUGGAGAUACGACUGCAUGCUUAAGAGGAGCAAUGUUCUUGCAGAGGACCCAGCUUCAGUGCCCAGCACCACAGUUGGCAGCUCCCACUUGUAGAUAUUUUCAUCAUAAAGACAGUGAAUUUAUUUAGUAAAAGAAGUCUGUAACCAAAACUGACAAAGGCAACCUUACCAUCACAGAGGGAACUCUGUGAAGCAUACAAGAUGAACAAAGUAAUUAGUGUAUUUACGAACCAGGGAUUGUUGCAUAGUUCAAGGAUGCGGAAUCACUUGUUAGAGCAGAGUCCUCGGCACAGUGUGUCCGUCCUGUUUGGAAGUGUUCCCAAAAGGACUCGUGAGCUCUGUGCCAUCAAGUACUUCCCUUCAUCAAGCUGAGGAGAUUAAUCCACACGGUCAGGACUGUUGCUGGGGAACUCCAGCCGGCAAAGAAUUCCAGUGGGUCAGAGACAAGUUGGCAGAUUCCCGCAGAAGGGUAGAAUGGGAAGUGGGCGGUGCAGACAAAGCAGCUGUGUGGAAAGAUAUCUCCGUCAAGAAUGGGUUGGUGGCGAGGAACAAAAACUCCCUUAGCCGGAGUAGAAAUGGGAUCUGUUGAUGGUGUCGGGGAACUCAGGAAACAUGGAAGGAAGGUGAGGCUGACGUCAUGGGAACUGGAGGCCUCUCUAGGAGCUCCUCACUCCCUGACCUGCUCUCUCACCUCUUGGGCCACAGCCUCCGAGAGGAACUGGUGAGUGCUUAUGGAGCAAAGAGCAUGUAGAACCUUCUAGUCUCUGACCACGUGGUGUGUCAGUACAUGGAUGGAUAGACAAACACACACGCUCAUGCACACAUACUUAGGCACAUACACACUUAGAUACACACUUAUACACACACACACACAUGCUCAUGCACACAUACUUAGGCACAUACACACUCAGACACAUGCACACACUCACUCACAUACACUCAGACACACACUCACACACACACAUGCUCAUGCAUACAUUCUCAGGCACACACUCAGACACACACACACUCAGACACACACAUUCAGAUACACUCAGACACACAAACACACUCAGGCACACACACACUCACACACACACUGAGACAUGCAUGUCCCAUGUGGGGAUAGGUUGCACUUCCUCUUUCAGCUGUGGCUUCUGGGCAGCUGCUCUACUCUGUCAUUUCUGCCUUAUGAAGCUUUGUCCCUAUUCAAGUAACAGAAAGCAGAAAGUGGCCCGGGAAACUCGACCUUCAAGCACACAGAACAAAAGAGAGAGCCACUGUCUUCCUGGAAAUGGUGCAUCAAAACUAUUUGCUGGGAUUGGCUUAAAGCUGGCUUGAUGGCUAUGGUCUAUUUUUGGAUGGGUCAAGCUGGUAUAAAAAGGAUGUGUGAACGUGAAGAUGAAGAAAUGCACUUUCUAUGGACAGAACUAAGACUCACCUGAAUGAGUCUAGGAAAGAAACUUAACUCAGUUACAAAAUGCUGGAUAAAGCCAAGAGACUUAAUAAAGUACUUUCUUGUCAAAAAAAAAAAAAAGAAAAGAGAAAAGAAAGGAAGGAAGGAAGGAAGGAAGAAAGAAAGAAAGGAGAGAAAGAAAGAAAGAAAGAAAGAAAGAGAAAGAAAGAAAGAGAAAGAAAGAAAGAAAGAAAGAAAGAAAGAAAGAGAGAGAGAGAGAAAGAAAGGGAGGAAGAAAAAGUGAAACUGUGUAUCUAAAUGACAAAGAGCGAUUUCUUUACUUUGUGGGUUUCAUGGCUCAGGCAGAAGAGGAGUUAACGCGCCAUCAGUGCCAGGAAGCAACAGACCAAAAGUCACUCUGGCUAUUGCUUGGAACAAGUUCUGCGCAACCAGUUACCGUUUCUCAAGUGUUCUGAAAGUGAGCCAAGAGCAGUCUGCAGAAGCGGCGGCCGGCCGGCUAAGCAGCAGCGUGGACUGUUCUCAUCUCGGGCAGACGGCCGAGCAGCUUGUACAGUUAUCUCUUUAAUUGGCAUCUCCUUUGCUUUUAUUUAAAGCAGAGCCUUCUGGUGCGAAGUGCACUGAACUACCAGGGUGCUUGCCCCAGCAGACCACGGCAAAGUGACCUCGCUUCUGGAGGUGUCAGAAGAGUCCAUCCACGGAGGCAGAGGCAAUUAAGUCAGAGCCCUUUGACUAUCCUUCCCAAUCCAAGACUGCGCUCAAGAUGAAGCGUUGGCAAAUUGCGGUCCAGAGUGGGCCAAUCCUGUCACAAGUCGAGCAUGGCCUUUAUGUCUCUCAAUGGGGAAAAAAAAAAUCAAGAACAAAGUCGUACUUUGUGAUUCAUGGAAAUGAUCUGACUUCAGAUUUCAGUGUCUACAAAUAAAGUUUUAUUGGAAGAAUGAAGGCUCUGCCAAGCAGCCAAUAAUCCCUUCAUUGCAACUCAGGGAGAAGAGAGAUGAAGUAGAGUGGGUGGAGGUGUGCGGAAGAGUUUCCCAUCCUAAUACGUCAAAGGUAACUCUGAAAGGAACGCUUGGGACAUAAUCCAACAAAGGCAUCUUGCCAAAUAGAAUGCUACAACAAAAAGAGCACUGACUAAGACAAUGCCUUUGGGUCAUUCUCCUGAUUGAUGACUGACAUGGGAUGGCCCACUGUGGACAUGGGAUGCUCACGGCACCCCACUAUCACUCAGGAUGGGAAGAUGAAGGCUGAACUGAAAACAUUUACUGAUGAGCCAAGGAUGCUGAGGGACCUGGGACCAGAAUCAAUGCAGCUGUCACCACCCUGAGGCUUGAAGGACUGGCAGGAUUGUCAGAGUCUGAUAAGAAAUGAGCUAUGUUAGGGGGAACCUCCCACAGGAAGGUGGCUUAUGGGAAUGGAGCAGCAACAUCUGUAGACUGGGGGAGGGUGGAAGGAGCUGGUGGAAUGGGUGCCUUCUUGGCUUUCCUG